rnacentral:rRNA from 1 species
UACGUAGGGUGCAAGCGUUAAUCGGAAUGACUGGGCGUAAAGGGUGUGUAGGCGGUCUGUUAAGUCGGAUGUGAAAUCCCCGGGCUCAACCUGGGAACUGCAUUGGAAACUGGCAGGCUAGAGUACGUAAGAGGGGGGUGGAAUUCCACGUGUAGCAGUGAAAUGCGUAGAGAUCGGAAAGAACACCAACGGCGAAAGCACUCUGCUGGGCCGACACUGACACUGAGAGACGAAAGCUAGGGGAGCGAAUGGG